UCACCGCUAGCUCAAUUGGUAGAGCAGCUGACUCUUAAUCAGCGGGUUCAAGGUUCGAGUCCUUGGCGGUGUACCA
rnacentral:tRNA from 2 species